CUGAGAAAGGGUCCUUCGGGGCCCGACCUCCAACCCUUUGUUUACAAACUUUGUUGCCUCGGCAGGCCGUCGACGUCUCUCUGAGGCGUUGCCCCUUGGUCUUCCGGCCUUGGUGCGCCUGCCGAUGGACUAAUUAAACCAUAUUGAAUCAGCUUUCUGAGUGAAAAUUUAAUACUUCA
rnacentral:misc_RNA from 1 species